AUGUAUCUGUGAAGGAACCAUGAAUAACGACGCUGUCGUGAUGUGGCUCCUACCUGUGUCUCUUUUUCUCCUUAGAUGUGCACCAUCUUCUGCUCGUACACUGACGUUUAAAGAUGAUCGUUGCGGUGGAGCAUACAAUCCGUCACCAAAAGAGAGCUUGAUGGUCACUCACACUGGGGCCCCAUUGUCCAGCAUAUGUCGGGAUAUGUCCUUCAGUGGCUGGGACUAUGAUGAUCGUGUCGAACGGGAAGUGUGUGUAAGAGUAACGGACUAUAAAAUGGACUGCUCCCAGAAGUUGGAAUACAGAGAGGGCACCAACAGAGGCAAGCCAUCUAAAAGUUAUGACUGCAAUGAUGAGGCAUAUACUAUUCCAAUACUCUGCACGUUUGAGCUUUUAUAUAUUCGGAUAGAGGGUGACGAACCGAAGGACAACACACGAGUACUUUACACGGUGUACAGCGGACAAGAAAAGCCCAGUGAAGAAGGUAUGGUCAGCUAUAAAACAUAUUUGUCAUGCUUAACGAAUCAAAAGUGAUUGAAUUAGAUAUCGUACACACUGUGUUGUAUCGGUGAACGGAACUUUUUAAAUAGGUGACAUAAGUUGAAUGUUUUAAUUUGAUAAUCAACUGCAUGCUUCAACCAUGGGUUUUUUUCAGAAUCCUUCUCAAUUUUUGCCAUUCUUGGUCCCCUGAUACUUUUGGCAGUGUUUGUUUGUAUGUGUAUAUUCGCUUAUUAUAUACGCCGGAAGAGAGCCCUUCAACUUCCGAACCGGGGAGGGGCGGCUUUAUAUAACCCCGGCCAACAACCACAAGUCAACGUACAUCACUACUAUCACACAGGUACGUACAUAAAUAAAACCUCCAAGGUACAUACAGGUAUUACUCAAGUAUGUUAUCGAAAACAUUUUAUCCAGGUAUGCAAUGAGGUAGUGUCAGGGACGAAAAAUGUAUGUAGUAUCAACCACGUAUGUACACCGCCGCCAUUUUUUAUUUAUACGAGUACUGUCAUUCAGAUACAUACAGUCAUAUUGCUGACAUGAAUAUUUAGUGAAUUAAACAUUCCCAUCUGGUUUUGUACUCGAUUACUUGUACAUGAACAAUAUAAUCUAAAUAUAAACAUCAUGCAAUACUUUCACCCAAGGAUAUAUGAAAAAUUAUAUUCAGCUUAAUGAAUAUGAAAUGAUUUAGUGUAGCAGUUUGAAAAUUGAUAAAGUUACAUGUAUCAUCGUUUUCACUAUAGUUCAAAAUCAGGACGUGCCCUCAAGUCAGAACCCGGGCCAAGGCCAGCCUUACCCCCCGCAAGGGUACAGCAUGCCAUCCCAAAUAUCCACACAGUUCCCAAAUUACGCCACCCCUAACGCACCUGUUGCGUACCCGUUAGCUCCCGGACAACAAAUAAUCCCCCCGCAGUCGGCCACAAGCGCCCAGUCAUCAUCCGGUGGUCCGCCAUCGUACGAGGAGGUCACGAAGCAAAAGCUGUGAUGUAGCACAGAGACAUACAAAAGCUGUGAUGUAGCACAGAGACAUAUACUAUUUACCAUCUAGGAGAAGAGCAUAAAGCAGAAUAUGCAACAAAUGUAAACGAAACUGCGACUGGAUGCUUUCUCUCAGUGACCUUGAAGUUGCCUUUUCGAACUCUAAUUUUUAAUAGCAUUUCUAAGGACAUUUGUUUCAUGUUAUGUGUAAAGUUUUAUUUGCUGUAGCUCGCUCUUCAUCUAUUAUAAGCUGUUGUUGUGUUGUUAACAUUUUGUAUAAUUGUACAAUUUGUAUAUUUCUACCUUAGUUGUUCUUGUCACUUUUAUUUUUAUACACGUAUACUUAAUGUUGAUCCUGUUACGAUAUUACUAUAUUUACAGUGUAACUAUUACCAGUAUUUUAUCAUUAAACAUAAUAUUUUACCCUAAUCUGUCAGUCUGAUCCUGUACAGAUAUAGGCUUAUC
rnacentral:misc_RNA from 1 species